rnacentral:rRNA from 1 species
CCUACGGGGGACAGCAGUGAGGAAUAUUGGUCAAUGGUCGGGAGACUGAACCAGCCAAGCCGCGUGCGGGAGGAAGGUACAGAGUAUCGUAAACCUCUUUUGUCAGGGAACAAAGACUGGGACGCGUCCCCGGAGGAGUGUACCUGAAGAAAAAGCAUCGGCUAACUCCGUGCCAGCAGCCGCGGUAAUACGGAGGAUGCAAGCGUUCUUCGGAUUUAUUGGGUGUAAGGGGUGCGUGGUGGGUCGGUACAGUCAGCGGUCAAAGCCCGGGGCUCAGCCCCGGCCCGCCGUUGAAACUGGCAGUCUCGAGUUGGAGAGAAGUAUGCGGAAUGCGCGGUGUAGCGGUGAAAUGCAUAGCUAUCGCGCAGAACUCCGAUUGCGAAGGCAGCAUGCCGGCUCCACACUGACGCUGAGGCACGAAAGCGUGGGUAUCGAACAGGAUUAGAUACCCCGGUAGUC